AGUGAACGCUGGCGGUAGGCCUAACACAUGCAAGUCGAACGGCAGCACAGUAAGAGCUUGCUCUUACGGGUGGCGAGUGGCGGACGGGUGAGGAAUACAUCGGAAUCUACUUUUUCGUGGGGGAUAACGUAGGGAAACUUACGCUAAUACCGCAUACGACCUACGGGUGAAAGCAGGGGAUCUUCGGACCUUGCGCGAUUGAAUGAGCCGAUGUCGGAUUAGCUAGUUGGCGGGGUAAAGGCCCACCAAGGCGACGAUCCGUAGCUGGUCUGAGAGGAUGAUAAGCCACACUGGAACUGAGACACGGUCCAGACUCCUAAGGGAGGCAGCAGUGGGGAAUAUUGGACAAUGGGCGCAAGCCUGAUCCAGCCAUACCGCGUGGGUGAAGAAGGCCUUCGGGUUGUAAAGCCCUUUUGUUGGGAAAGAAAAGCAGCAGGUUAAUACCCCGCUGUUCUGACGGUACCCAAAGAAUAAGCACCGGCUAACUUCGUG
rnacentral:rRNA from 1 species